rnacentral:rRNA from 1 species
CGGCAGGCUUAACACAUGCAAGUCGAGCGGUAGCACAGGGGAGCUUGCUCCCUGGGUGACGAGCGGCGGACGGGUGAGUAAUGUCUGGGAAACUGCCUGAUGGAGGGGGAUAACUACUGGAAACGGUAGCUAAUACCGCAUAACGUCGCAAGACCAAAGAGGGGGACCUUCGGGCCUCUUGCCAUCAGAUGUGCCCAGAUGGGAUUAGCUAGUAGGUGGGGUAAUGGCUCACCUAGGCGACGAUCCCUAGCUGGUCUGAGAGGAUGACCAGCCACACUGGAACUGAGACACGGUCCAGACUCCUACGGGAGGCAGCAGUGGGGAAUAUUGCACAAUGGGCGCAAGCCUGAUGCAGCCAUGCCGCGUGUGUGAAGAAGGCCUUCGGGUUGUAAAGCACUUUCAGCGAGGAGGAAGGUGGUGAACUUAAUACGUUCAUCAAUUGACGUUACUCGCAGAAGAAGCACCGGCUAACUC